rnacentral:rRNA from 1 species
UACGAAGGAUGCAAGCGUUAUCCGGAUUUAUUGGGUUUAAAGGGUGCGUAGGCGGACUUAUAAGUCAGUGGUGAAAUCUCGAUGCUUAACAUCGAACGUGCCAUUGAUACUGUAGGUCUUGAGUACAGAUGCCGUUGGCGGAAUGUGUCAUGUAGCGGUGAAAUGCAUAGAUAUGACACAGAACACCGAUUGCGAAGGCAGCUGACGAAACUGUAACUGACGCUGAGGCAGAAAGCGUGGGGAUCAAACAGG